CUUUAUAAACUCUCGAGCAGGCACUUUGAGGCUUUAUAGACAAUGAGAUAGAUAUUUUGGAUGGUGAGAGAUAGAAGGGCGGUGGGUGAGGAUUUUCUAGUUAAAAAUGGUCUCGAAAAAACUUCGGAAUGGACGUCGAUAUUCUCCGUCCGCACGUCAACUUAUCCACCAAAUGUGAUUGAGUUCACUCUUGACGAAAAAAAAGUCAUAUCAAAAGAACUCUGCAGAAUAACCCUUAUCUUGAUUAGUGGGUUGGAAUGCUAUUAGACAAAAGUCACCAGAGAAAGCAUCAAUGCUAGGAGAUAUUGUACCUACAUAAGGUGGAUGACAGGCCAUACAUGUGUCCUCAUCCUGGGUGCCUCCAUGGCUCUUUGAUAGCAGCGACCUUGUAGGAAUUCAAACCCGCAAACCGCACCUACCACGUGAAGAACACGAUAUACUUGAGGGUGGAAUUUUUUUUAUAUAUGUGAUAAUCUUAUAGUCUC